AAAGUUACUAGUGAACAGGACAGAACGGGACUGGGACAGAACGGGACUGGGACAUGGAUGUAUAAAUCCAUAAAAUAGGUAGGGGUAAAGUUACUAGGGAACAGGACAGAACGGGACUGGGACAGAACGGGACUGGGACAUGGAUGUAUAAAUCCAUAAAAUAGGUAGGGGUAAAGUUACUAGGGAACAGGACAGAACGGGACUGGGACAUGGUGCUAUAAAUCCAUAAAAUAGGUAGGGGUAAAGUUACUAGGGAACAGAACAUAACGGGACUGGGACAGAACGGGACUGGGACAUGGAUGUAUAAAUCCAUAACAUAGGUAGGGGUAAAGUUACUAGUGAACAGGACAGAACGGGACUGGGACAGAACGGGACUGGGACAUGGAUGUAUAAAUCCAUAAAAUAGCUAGGGGUAAAGUUACUAGUGAACAGGACAGAACGGGACUGGGACAGAACGGGACUGGGACAUGGAUGUAUAAAUCCAUAAAAUAGGUAGGGGUAAAGUUACUAGGGAACAGGACAGAACGGGACUGGGACAGAACGGGACUGGGACAUGGAUGUAUAAAUCCAUAAAAUAGGUAGGGGUAAAGUUACUAGGGAACAGGACAGAACGGGACUGGGACAUGGUGGUAUAAAUCCAUAAAAUAGGUAGGGGUAAAGUUACUAGGGAACAGGACAGAACGGGACUGGGACAGAACGGGUCUGGGACAUGGAUGUAUAAAUCCAUAACAUAGCUAGGGGUAAAGUUACUAGGGAACAGGACAGAAGGGGACUGGGACAUGGAUGUAUAAAUCCAUAACAUAGCUAGGGGUAAAGUUACUAGGGAACAGGACAGAACGGGACUGGGACAUGGAUGUAUAAAUCCAUAAAAUAGGUAGGG